UGAAGAGGAUUAUGCAAAAUAUUAAGAGAUUGAGUUAUUGAAACGAGUCUGCUUAUUAAUUAGUAAGAUCAUGGUAGGAUCAGUACAGCUUCCAUGCAAUCGCCUCGUUCUUGUGGCUUUUAUCAUGCUUUGCUUGUUCUCGGUAUCAGCCACAGCACGCAGUUUACGAGUGGCUAGUACUAAUGAAUCGCUGACGAGUCAUGAUAAUCAUCAGUCCUCACCAAAAGAAGAUAGGGUGGCCGUGGCAGACGCUGAAGAUUUAGUGUCUGUGGAUUACACUCCGGCAACAAGGAAGCCUCCGAUACAUAACUAAUAAUUUUAAAAUAUUUAAAUAGUUAAAAAGCUUUGAUCGGUACUUCAGUUACUUAUUAAUCCUCAUUUAGUUUAAGCGCAUAUAUAUAUAUAUAUAUAUAUAUAUAUAUCUAGUUGAGUCUGGAGAAAUAGCUAGGGAAACUGCAGUGAUUUAAAAACAUGGCAUGCAACAUAUAUGAUGCUUUGGUCUAUCAUGGACCUUCUGUAAACUAGGGUUUCGGAAAGGUUUAUAGCUAGAGAAAAGCUGACUGUUACAUGCCACACAGAUCCCACACAGAUCAUGUGUUACUUUUGUAUAAGCAUAAUCAAUAUAUGGAUAUUGUAUGUGAUUCUAAA